UCCUAAGGGGCGGUAUAAUUUUGGUUUACAUUUCCACCAACAAUGUACAAGUGAUUCAGUUUUCCCACAUCGUGGCUGCCAUCUGUCUUUAGGAGUUUUGUCGCUGUGUGCCAUUUUCUGUUUCAGCAUUUCUGGCAGCUGUCAUGACAUUUCACUGAGGUCCUUCCCCUCCCUGGCUGGAAAUCACAUUGAGCUUACUUCACAUUUUAAGUUCUAUUCUUGAAUUUGUUUCUAAAACCCAGAAAUAAGAAGGAACGAACUAGGGCUUGCAACAGAGAAAGAAAGGGGCAUGCUUUUAAGUAUCUUUCCCUGGUUCUCCAGAGUUGCUGGGUGCAUCACUUGCAGGCCUGACAUCGGGUGGAUUCAGAACUCUGCUUUCACUCAAUCAUCAAUUAGCAUUUCUUACUGAAUUAUUCUAUGAAUCCAUUUCAGAAAGAAAACCAUGAGGCAAAUCAUGACCAUUAAACAUAUCCCAGCAGACUGGGCAUAUGAUUUGGGGAAUUUUGAUUACUUGGGAGUUAAAACUUAACUAAAUCAAACAAAAACCUCCUAAACACCUUAAGCAUCCUGAGAACCUCUCUGCCACACUUUAGGUUUGAGUUUCAGAGUUCAAGAAGCCUCACAUGCUCUCUCUCCUCAUCCUCACUAUGACCCAGAGUCAGGUGAGGAAAACGGAAGGAGCCGAGAAGGAAACCAGCUCUGCGACGGCCACACUUCCUCCCAGGGAAUGUCCAAGCCUGGCCUGGCUCCCAGUGCUGGAGGGAAAAAGCUUUUGCCCCCUCAUAGCUCUCCCUGCCCCAGGACUGCUGUGCUAAACUUGUUCUACCGAGACUUAAGAACGGAGAAAGUGAAUACGGGUUAGAAACUGUGUGGCUGGCUCUCGGAGAGAUUAUCAGGGAGCCAGGCAAUGCCAGUCCAGAAAGCAGACAGAGAGGGUUGAGAUUCCCACACAAGCAGAGCCCACAGGGAUCGGUGGGGCUCUCGGGAAGGCGACACUGAAUGGCACGGUCUAUGCACACCCUGCUGCAUAGGCCCGAGAGGCUGUUUCUUCCGUUUUCUCAGAGCUCUGGUGAGAUGUUUUCAGUUCCUCGAGACUUUUGGAGGGUGACUGGGGAGAUACCAAGUGGCCCAUCCAUACCUGACACCAGGAGAGUAACUUGAUCCUGACACUUGGCCUACGGAGCAUUACGAGGGUCGGAAAGUGGGCUUCGUUUUUACCCCUGUGCACGGCUAUUCUGGGCAAGUGGAAGCAGCCACGAGCUAAGACAGAGAUGUUGGCAUGCAUCAUGUUAACAGAGGGGACACAGUUGAGGCUGGGGCCUUCCUCACACUCACCUUGCCCUCCUGAAUGGUGACCACAUCAGGGAGCCCGCCCAGCACCCGGGCGCGAUCUGUAAGCACAGGCACUUCCGGUUAGUCCCCGCACGACGGUAGCCCUCAACCCCUCAUCCGAUCCCGGGGGCACAAACCCCCAGUUUAGCUCUCAUUCUCCUGACAGCUACUUCACACUGUGUGCAGUACCCCAGGUACAAUGGAAGUGCAAAAUGAAUGCUAGUAACAGGAAGCAGGAAGACCUUUUUCCCAUGGUUGCAUGUGAGCAGGUGUGGCCAGCUGCCCUCAAAAGACCAGCUCAGCAGGGCACUAUCACGUGGUGAGCUGCUCUGCAACUUUCAGCCGCCCCCCUCCCCCCGCUGAAGCUGAGUGGGGCUGAGCUGGGAAACAGACGGAAUCUUCACCGACAGCUUGGAGCCUGGUGUGGGCUCUCCCUGGGGUCCCCAGGAGGGGCAUGGGUUGUGAGGGAAGGGCCCAUGCAAGCACAUCUUCUUUCAAGGCCUUCCUAUGAGUGUUCUUUUCUGUCUCCUAGGGGUUCCUGGCAGCUGUGUACAAGCCACUAUCCACAGCUGAGUGUCAAGGCCAGCCAAAAGGGGACCAGGACCAGGAUGGGUGUGAAAUCCAAGAUGCUGCCCUUGGCCAAUCCAUGUGCCCAAGCCCUUGGGGAAGCCGCCUUUCUGUCAUAAAUGCUAAGGCCUCCUCUCUGGCACUGACACAGUGGCUUCCAGCCUCAUAACUUUUGGGCCAACUUCAAUUAAUCUGUGACUCUCGAUCAUCAUUUCUACAAUUGCCUGCUCUGUGGAGUCAGGCUGAAACUUGGGGUGGCACCAGACUCCUUCCUUCUGUCAAUGCCAUUAUACCACCAGCUCCCCACGUGACCUGCCAUGUGACAUUCAGCCUGUCACCUUGCUGGGUGCCACAGUCCCCUGGGUGUAGAAUGGGAGGAGGGUUGCACGGUAUCUGUGGACUCUGAGUUUGCAAACUUGCACCACAGCUUCUGUGGGUUCCCCUGGAGCGGGGUAGGUGACGGUGCAGAGGACUGUUCAGAGUGAAUGUAGGUGUAAAAUCUCAGAGCCAGAGGACCCCGGCCUCACCCAGCUGUGUGGGUGCAUGACCCAGAGGGCCAGGCUCCCAGCAAGACAGGCAGGACCCUGCUGGUGGGUGGGGGCCUCUCAGGCUGUCCCAGAUCCUCGCUGACCCGCUCCACCCCAGCUCCAGAAGGCCUCUGCCCUGACCACUAGAGCGCGAGCGCCUCCUGAACAGGGCCUGAGCCUGCAUGGGGAGGAGAGGGCAGCAGAGCUGGGGUAGGCUCAGAGUCCCCAGUGAGCCAGACCUGGGAAGUGGGGUGGCAACACCCCGCUCACUCCUUCCCUUGCCCCCUUCAAGUCCAGCUUGGCAUCCACUGUAGAGCGUAUGGCAGCAUUUCAAUUCCACCCCGCACUUAGAAAGAAACCAAAUCAAUGCACUGGCUUAGCCGGAGGUUCCUGAAACCCUCCGGGCAGGGCUGUUGGGGUUCUCUAAAAAUCUCUCGGAGGGAAGCAAACUGCGACCCAGCGCAGCAUAAAGGGCCCAUUCAGACGCUGGUCGAUCUAGGUACUCAGGAAACGGCCCAGUACUCCCUGGGGAGGCUGCAGUGAUUUACCCCGUGCCAAACUUACAAUGUUUCUUUUCUUUAACGGUGUGAUUUUUCCCCUUGCUACAUUGUGUCUAACGUAGUGGAUUUGCAAGCAGGAGAUUUCUCAGGCUGGCCGGGAGCUGGGUGACACUCUCCCAGAAUAGCCCGGGACUUCUUUCCAUAGGCAUUCUUACCCGCAAGACUAAAAUGAAAACAUAUGUGGGACCCCUCCGGUUCUAAAAAAGGAAGGAAAAGCCAAGACACCCUUCUCCUCUCCUGUCUGCAGCUAUGACAGCACAGUGAAGUGUAUUUCUGGUCCACGGGAAGCGGGCUACUUACUUUUCUCGGCAAUGGCAGCUUGUCUGUGGUUGAGAGAGACAAACAAACAUAGAAACAAAGAAGACUGUGUUGAGUGCUACUUGGAAGCAGCUGACCCGGGCCGCAUCUCUCUGCUGUGGGGACCUCAGCUAUUGCUACGGCAGCAGCAAGCGCCACUGGACAAAGGGCUCUUUCUACACUCGGUCCCGGGGACCCAGGGAGAUUACUGCACACAGAAGCAUUUGCCAGGAUGGGGGACUUACUUUAACCUCUGGAAUUCAGCAUAGGCCUCUUCGUACGCUUUAAGAGAAAAAAGCAAAGUUAGAAUCUGCUCACCCCGAAUCCCAUGCAUGACCAGGCACAGGCUCUGAAUAAAACUCCCACGCAAGGUGGCUAACUACUGACUCAGUAACACACUCACUCUAAUGCACUCUGCCUUUCUAGGUAGAAAACGUAAGAUAGGUGCUUUGGAAAGUUUUCAGCUCAACCCUUUAAGUAGAAAGUCAGGGAUUAGCACCACCCAAGGAAAAUGUGAAUAAAUCUGUUUCAUAAAAAGUUGGCUGUCUAUUAAACAUCCUAAACACCAAA